rnacentral:siRNA from 1 species
UGAAGGAAGCAUAUCGGGCCC